rnacentral:rRNA from 1 species
GAUGAACGCUGGCGGCGUGCCUAAUACAUGCAAGUCGAGCGAACAGACGAGGAGCUUGCUCCUCUGACGUUAGCGGCGGACGGGUGAGUAACACGUGGAUAACCUACCUAUAAGACUGGGAUAAUUUCGGGAAACCGGAGCUAAUACCGGAUAAUAUAUUAAACCGCAUGGUUCAAUAGUGAAAGACGGUUUUGCUGUCACUUAUAGAUGGAUCCGCGCCGCAUUAGCUAGUUGGUAAGGUAACGGCUUACCAAGGCAACGAUGCGUAGCCGACCUGAGAGGGUGAUCGGCCACACUGGAACUGAGACUGGGUCCAGACACCUGCGGGAGGCCGCAGUAGGGAAUCUUCCGCGAUGGGCGAGAGCCUGACGGAGCAACGCCGCGUGAGUGAUGAUGGUCUUCGGAUCGGUAAGCUCUGUUAGUAUUGGAGAACUAAUGUGUUAGUAACUAGGCACGUCUUGACGGUACCGGGUCAGUAAGCCACGGCUAACUACGUG